rnacentral:rRNA from 1 species
GGACUACCGGGGUAUCUAAUCCCGUUCGCUCCCCUCGCUUUCGCACCUCAGCGUCAGUCACCCCCCAGGACACUGCCUUCGCCUUUGGUAUUCCUCCGGAUCUCUACGCAUUUCACCACUCCACCCGGAAUUCUGUGUCCCUCUGAGGUCCUCCAGUCCGCCCGUUUUCAAGACCCUCGCGCGGUUAAGCCGCGCGCUGUCACCUCAAACCUGGCGGACCGCCUACGUGCCCUUUACGCCCAGUAACUCCGGACAACGCUCGCCCCCUACGUCUUACCGCGGCUGCUGGCAC